GUCUGUGAAGGUCCGCGUCUCCGCGCGGCGUGGUGCUCACGGCUGUGGGGAAGCAGGGCGCGCGCCCUGUGGGGCGGGCUCUUGCCUGCGGACAGAUGGAGGGUCACCUUGUUCCGAGGAGAGUCAGGCACCCGAUGUGAGGGAGGAUGUGAAACGGAACGACCCGUUUAGUAUCUGGAAAGUCAAGUAUGUGUUUCAGUUUCCUCGCUUUAGACCUAUUGAGAGCAAACUCAGGACCCUGCACUUGCCAGGCAGGCAUGGCCCCACUGAGCUACAUCCCUGGUCGGAAAUGCAGAUUUAAUAAGGACUCUGCCCAUUGGGGAUGGAACUCCGGUCCUUGCGUUUGCGAAGCAGGCAGCGAAACCACUGAGCUAAAUCCCCGGCAAAACCUCAUCUCUUAAAGGACCCAAGAUAUACCAAUCUUCCCUGGACUGUGCCUUAAUACAGAGGAAUUUUGAGAUAUAAACUGUAGCACUUCUAGGUAUUUGUCAGGUAAAAGGGCCGAAAACCAAGACCAGACCAGGGCACAACAAGCCUUUAUUAAGGAACAGAUCUGCUGGGCUGUCUCUGAACAAAGGAGAGACAAAAAGCAAUACGGCCGGGGCGGGAGAGUCUUUUGGAGAGACUGGGGUGUGGCUUGUAGGGGCUGAGGUGGGGUUGAGUGAGGUAGUGACUAGGGAAUGGAGGAGCCGGUGACGUCACUAGGUGGUAGGAGGUGAGCUAG
rnacentral:lncRNA from 1 species